CUCUUCUCCUACUCUCAGCGGAGCGGGUGGAAGCUUGAUUUCAUGCCGUUUAUUUUACUUUGACUGUUUUCAAACCUAUCAAGUUAAUAUUGUUAAUUAUAGAAAACGUGGGGGGAAAAGGGAAAAGAUAGGUAGAAAAUGAUUCUUAGCAUCCCCAAGCAUCUUUAACCUUUCAUUAUGUUUACUUCCAGCCUUUUUCAUGAAACAAAAUUGUGGUCUGACUGUAUACAGUGGUAUUAACUACAAAGAUUCCUAAGAAGGGACAAAAAGCACCUUUUAGCUUCAAGGCUAAUUUAGAGGAACAGGUAGAAGAGGAAAAGUUCAAACAAUGGACAAAAUGAGUGAUUCGUCCACGGUAUCUAAUCACUGUUCACAUCAUCCGGAGGAAACGGGCUCAGAGUCAUGCCCAAGGCCGCGCAUAAAAGAGUGGCAGACUGGGGUUUCAAACCCAGGCUCUAAACUGUGAACCUGCAAGAUGGUGGGAGUGGGGAAGACAGUGAAAAGUUGUGCAGGGAAUUCACAGAACUACAGAACCCACUUUGUACUUCUGGAACUGCUGAGUGGGGAACUAGUUCUAAGGAACAAGGUUAGUGCCCCAGCAGUUGGAGCAGUUUGGUGAGAGAGUGGCACAAAGCUGACACUGGUACAUGGCCCUGGCCACUAGUUGUUAAGUUCCACCCAUCUCCAGCACUGCCCUCCCCAUGAGUGACAGUGAAAGGUGGGAGGGACGUUACAGGACUGUAUCAGGCAUUAGACCUGCUACUCCAAGUGCAGUCUGGUGCAGUCUGCAGGCCAGCAGCCUCCCUGCUGUCCAGCACUUUCCGCAUCACUUGGAAGCUUGAUGGAAAUGCAGAAUCUUGGACCACACUUUAAAGCUUCUGAAUCGGGCGGCAUGCGAUGCCUCAUGCUUGUAAUCCCAGCACUUUGGGAGGCCAAGGUGGGUGGAUCACCUGAGGUCAGGAGUUUUGAGACCACCCUGGCCAACAUGUUGGCCCCGUCUCUACUAAACCCCAUCUCUACUAAAAGUACAAAAAUUAGCCGGGCAUGGUGGCGGGCGCCUGUAAUCCCAGCUACUUGGGAGGCUGAGACAGGAGGAUCGCUUGAACCCGGGAGGCAGAGGUUGCAUUGAGCCAAAACUGUUCCGUUGCACUCCAGCCUGGGCAACCAAGAUGUCCCUUCUUAGGAACCUUUGUAGUUAAUACCACUGUAUACAGUCAGACCACAAUUUUGUUUCAUGAAAAAGGCUGGAAGUAAACAUAAUGAAAGGUUAAAGAUGCUUGGGGGUGCUAAGAAUCAUUUUCUACCUAUCUUUUCCCUUUUCCCCCCACGUUUUUGAAACUCUGUCUCAAAAAAUUUAAAAAAUAAAGCUUCUACAUCAAAAUACGCAUUUUAACUAGGUCCCUGGGUGAUUCCUGUGCACAUUGAAGUUUGAGAAGUGCUGUUGUAAAUAAAGUAAGUCGUCCUGCUCGCUUGGUACAGCAGGUGGGAUGGUAGAUGCGAAGGGCGCUUGCAGAACUGGAUGAUGGGAAGACAGGCAGGCAGGGAGCAAGGUCGGUAAGGAGGAUUAAAAAAAAAUCAAGGCUGGGCGCGGUGGCUUACGCCUGCAAUCGCUGCGCUUUGGGAGGCCAAAGCAGGCGGAUCACCUGAGGUCGGGACUUCGAGACCAGGCUGACCAACAGGGAGAAACCCCGUCUCUACUAAAAAUACACAAUUAGCCGGGCAUGGGUGGCGCAUGCCUGUAAUCCCAGCUACUGGUGAGGCCGAGGCAGGAGAACUGCUUGAACCCGGCAGGUGGAGGUUAUGGUGAGCCGAGAUCAUGCCAUUGCACUCCAGUCUGGGCAACAAGAGCGAAACUGCGUCUCAAAAAAAAAAAAAAAUUCCUACGAGUGUCAGAAAAUAUGAUCUGCCACAAAGGAAAACCAGGAAAUCAGAAUCUGGGAGCUAAAGGAAGAAGAAAUAGGUGAAGCAGGUAAGCAGAUCUCUUGAGAAAAUUCACUAAUAGACAAAGGGCUGCCCCCCUGUGGGUGAUUUUUUUGUGUUGUCUGUGACUUACAGGGUCUAGUUAUUAUAAUUCACAGAGCUUAGGGAGAGCAGCCCCUGCCCAUCCCCUCCAGCAGGGUAUAGUGAGAUUUCUCUGGGUUCUUCUAGCUGAGGGCAUAUUCUGGGCGUUUUUGGACAGGGGAGAACCAGGGAUAGGAGGAGCUGGCUGAGGUUCUGACAGAACAGUGUCUGUUGGAUGAGGGCUGGAGUAUGUAUGGUGUGCGCUUGUGUAUGCACAUGUGGGCUGGAGGGAAGGGCAGGGCAUUGGCACCAACCCAGGACAGCAGUCACUGAAAGAUGGGGUGAAUUUAGGUGAUUGGGAAUUAGUGGGCCCACAAAGCCACAGGGCUGAUGACAUCUGGUACCUUGAAAGUCAGGUGGCAGGCCUACAGAUCUCUUGGGUGGAUAGUUCUUGGAGUUAGAGUUUGGAGGUCCCCAAGUAGCUUCUAAAUAUUAGCAAUCUGGCUGGGCGCCGUGACUCACGCCUGUAAUCCCAGCACACUUUGGGAGGUCGAGGCAGGUGGAUCACCUGAGGUCAGGAGUUCAAGACCAGCCUGGCCAACACGGUGAAACCCCAUCUCUACUAAAAAUACAAAAAUUAGCUGGGUGUGGUGGCGCAUGCCUGUAAUCCCAACUACUCGGGAGGCUGGGGCAGAAGAAUUGCUUGAAUCCGGGAGGCGGAGGUUGUAGUGAGCCGAGAUUGCGCCACUGCACUCCAGCCUAGGUGACAGAGCGGGAC
rnacentral:lncRNA from 10 species